rnacentral:misc_RNA from 1 species
CGCACCUUGCGCUCCUUGGUAUUCCGAGGAGCACGUCUGUUUGAGUGUCAUGGAAUUCUCAACCUUCUACUUUAUUGUUGAAGGCUUGGACUUGGAGGUCGUGCUGGCUCUUGUAGUCGGCUCCUCUGAAAUGCAUUAGCGUGCGUGUUACGGAUCGCUUCAGUGUGAUAAUUAUCUGCGCUGUUGUGUUGAAGUAUAGUAUAACCUACGCUUAUAAUCGUCUUUACGGACACUCCCUUGACAAUUUGACCUCAAAUCAGACGGGACUACCCGCUGAACUUAA